UACGAAGGGGGCUAGCGUUGUUCGGAAUUACUGGGCGUAAAGCGCACGUAGGCGGCUUUCUAAGUCGGGGGUGAAAUCCUGGAGCUCAACUCCAGAACUGCCUUCGAUACUGGAAAGCUCGAGUCCGGGAGAGGUGAGUGGAACUGCGAGUGUAGAGGUGAAAUUCGUAGAUAUUCGCAAGAACACCAGUGGCGAAGGCGGCUCACUGGCCCGGUACUGACGCUGAGGUGCGAAAGCGUGGGGGAGCAAACAGG
rnacentral:rRNA from 1 species